AUUGAACGCUGGCGGCAUGCCUUACACAUGCAAGUCGAACGGUAACAGGUCUUCGGAUGCUGACGAGUGGCGAACGGGUGAGUAAUACAUCGGAACGUGCCUAGGAGUGGGGGAUAAAUAAUCGAAAGAGUGGCUGAUACCGCAUGAGAGCUACGGAUGAAAGCAGGGGAUCGCAAGACUUCGUGCUACUGGAGCGGCCGAUGGCAGAUUAGGUAGUUGGUGGGAUAAAAGCUUACCAAGCCGACGAUCUGUAGCUGGUCGGAGAGGACGAUCAGCCACACUGGGACUGAGAAGCGGCCCAGACCCCUACGGGAGGCAGCAGUGGGGAAUUUUGGACAAUGGGCGCAAGCCUGAUCCAGCAAUGCCGCGUGCAGGAUGAAGGCCUUCGGGUUGUAAACUGCUUUUGUACGGAACGAAAAGCCCCGGGUUAAUACCCUGGGGUCAUGACGGUACCGUAAGAAUAAGCACCGGCUAACUACGUGCCAGCCGCCGCCGUAA
rnacentral:rRNA from 1 species